AUGCACGCUGGCGGCGUGCCUCAUACAUGCAAGUCGAGCGAACGGACGAGAAGCUUGCUUCUCUGAUGUUAGCGGCGGACGGGUGAGUAACACGUGGGUAACCUACCUAUAAGACUGGGAUAACUUCGGGAAACCGGAGCUAAUACCGGAUAAUAUUUUGAACCGCAUGGUUCAAAAGUGAAAGACGGUCUUGCUGUCACUUAUAGAUGGAUCCGCGCUGCAUUAGCUAGUUGGUAAGGUAACGGCUUACCAAGGCAACGAUGCAUAGCCGACCUGAGAGGGUGAUCGGCCACACUGGAACUGAGACACGGUCCAGACUCCUACGGGAGGCAGCAGUAGGGAAUCUUCCGCAAUGGGCGAAAGCCUGACGGAGCAACGCCGCGUGAGUGAUGAAGGUCUUCGGAUCGUAAAACUCUGUUAUUAGGGAAGAACAUAUGUGUAAGUAACUGUGCACAUCUUGACGGUACCUAAUCAGAAAGCCACGGCUAACUACGUG
rnacentral:rRNA from 1 species